CGCAGUAAAGAGGAGAGUUCAUCCUGGUGCAACAUGGCUCACCUAUGCACCAGUCCGACUUCUAAUAAGCCAUGACCAAAUCCCCUGUACACAUAUAGUGACUCAGAGGAUGAGCAGCCCACAAAAAAAAUGGUUUCCCCAGGCCCCUCGAGUGAAAAUACCAGACCUGACGAGAGCUGUUAACGAACUCCGUGAGGAGGUCAGAGCCAUCCGCAAUACCGGCUGCAAUGAAUCGGUAGAUGCUGGGGUACUGGCUCUGGAUUUGCCCUUGCACAACAUUGAGGAGCUAAACAAUGCAGAGCCAGCUCUUCAAUCACAAGAGGCAAAUAAGGCAAUGGUGAGACGCUUUGCCUUGAUUGGAGCCUGACGCAGCAGUUAGGGGCAAACUCUAUGUCCGAGUUAGUCUUUGCACAAGCAGUGCAGAAAUGGCUCCGAUACGCCCCAGAUCGUUUGGGUGGUGCAGGACGCACAUCAUGCAAAAAAUUACAAACUUCUGUGAAUCAUAUAAACGUAAAUCGGAAACUGUCUUUUAAUAAAGUAUUUAGCAAACGAAACAUGCCUAUUGACCUUUUUUUGUUUAUUUUUUUUCUCUGUUACAUCACAUGCAAUGCUUUCUUAUUUUAGGAUAUUAAUAUUGACAUGAUACAUUGUGAGACAUUUGGGUUUUUUUUUAUAAAGGGUGUCCAAUUUAAGGAAUAAGUACAAUUAUGUGUUUAGGUGGUUGAAGUAUUGAUGGAAACAUGCAGUAGUUUAGUAUUGGUUAAAAUACCUAUAAAGAAAGGUAGAUUUCCAGUCAUGAUUUAACUGUUUUAAUAAAAAGCAACUGUGCGAAAGAGGCGGAAAAUCAACACCAUAGCUCAACAGUGUUUCAAUAUCAGAAUCUGACAUUGUUUCAAUGUCAGCAGUAUUAGAAAAUAUAACGUUGAAUCAACGUCAGGUUUCAACAUUGAUUCAACAUCAAAACCUGACGUUUCAACAUUAAAAAAGGGUGCAAGAGUGACGUUAGGUCAACGUCACACUUCAACGUUGGUUCAAUGACACAGCCUGAUAUUGACUCAACAUUGUUUCAAUGUUUCCUUGCUAUCUGGGUAAAUACUUGUUUUAUCACUUAAAACAGAUAAUCAGUAUAAAAUAUUUGUGCAACAUAAUUUUUC
ensembl:lncRNA